UGCUUUAGCAAUAAGAACCCGGUGACAGGUGCUGCAUGGCUGUCGUCAGCUCGUGUCGUGAGAUGUUGGGUUAAGUCCCGCAACGAGCGCAACCCUCGCCUUUAGUUGCCAGCAUUCAGUUGGGCACUCUAGAGGGACUGCCGGUGUCAAACCGGAGGAAGGUGGGGAUGACGUCAAGUCCUCAUGGCCUUUAUGUCUAGGGCUACACACGUACUACAAUGGCCGGUACAAAGGGCAGCCACUCAGCGAUGAGGCGCUAAUCCCAUAAAGCCGGUCUCAGUCCGGAUCGCAGUCUGCAACUCGACUGCGUGAAGUUGGAAUCGCUAGUAAUCGUAGAUCAGCAUGCUACGGUGAAUACGUUCCCGGGCCUU
rnacentral:rRNA from 1 species